CCUACGGGUGGCUGCAGUGGGGAAUAUUGCACAAUGGGCGCAAGCCUGAUGCAGCCAUGCCGCGUGUGUGAAGAAGGCCUUCGGGUCGUAAAGCACUUUCAGCGGGGAGGAAGGCGGUGAGGUUAAUAACCUCAUCGAUUGACGUUACCCGCAGAAGAAGCACCGGCAACCCCGUGCCAGCAGCCGCGGUAAUACGGAGGGUGCAAGCGUUAAUCGGAAUUACUGGGCGUAAAGCGCACGCAGGCGGUCUAUCAAGUCGGAUGUGAAAUCCCCGGGCUCAACCUGGGAACUGCAUUCGAAACUGGCAGGCUAGAGUCUUGUAGAGGGGGGUAGAAUUCCAUGUGUAGCGGUGAAAUGCGUAGAGAUCUUGAGGAAUACCGGUGGCGAAGGCGGCCCCCUGGACAAAGACUGACGCUCAGGUGCGAAAGCGUGGGGAGCAAACAGGAUUAGAUACCCCGGUAGUC
rnacentral:rRNA from 1 species